rnacentral:rRNA from 1 species
CAGAAAACACUAAUAAUCACCUAAUAAUUUCAAACAAACCUAUACUACAUUAAGUACCUAAAUCAACCAUCAACCAACACAUCACCGCAAGGGCGCUAUAACACUACUUAAAAGAAGAACUACAACUUCCUACCUUUUGCAUCAUGUAGUUGCAACAAACACUAGCCUAGCACUAUCUCCCGAAAGAUGAAGAGCUACCAUCAACACAAUACUAGUGUGUCACUACUAGUUGAGAGUUAAUGGUAGAAGCAAAAUACCUGCCGAGUCCUCUGAUAGCUGGCUGUUCCUUAAAGGCAUCUCAGUGCCCUCUAACAGAUAUACACAUCAAAAUUUUCUGUUAAAGAAACCUCAGUGAGGACAAGCUCACUGACUAACUUAAAAUACUAAAUCAUAAUUAAAUACAAGUGGGCCUAAAACCAGUCAACAAAACCCGUUAUAGGGAAUAUACCCAAUAUUCCUCAUAUACAAUAAUACAUUUUAUCUACAAGGAACCUUAGGAAGUAACAACCAACCUAAUGAACCGGCACCUAUUAGUAUCCGCCAAAACUAAAUAAGAACACUUAAAACACCUUAUCCUAUACAAUAAAACAUAUAAACCGCAAAUAAUGAACUAGGCAAUACUCUUUCCCGCCUGUUUAUCAAAAACACCGUCUUUCGACUAUUUAAAUGAAGGAUACUGCCUGCCCAAUGAUUAUUUAAUUGAAUGGCCGCGUUAGCGUGAGCGUGCUAAGGUAGCGUAAUAAAUAGCUCCCUAAUUAGGAGCCAGUGAAUGGCAACACGGGAAGGGGCUAUAUCAUUAACGGUAUGAGAACUUUUCUCUUAGGUGAAAAGACUUAAAUAACAGAGAAAGACAAAAAGACCCCGCGGAACUCUCCUCAUAGGUUAGACCACAUAAUAACGGUAUACAACUGAGGUUGGUUGGGGCAACCUUGGAGAAAACAAAACCUCCAUAUAUACACAAAAACACAUCCAAAACAUAAUAUGGAACAUAGCGUAGUUACCCCGGGGAUAACAGCGUAAUCCAGCUUAAGAGUACCCAUUGAAAGCUGGGUUUGCGACCUCGAUGUUGGCUUAGGGAAAGCAACUUGGCGCAGCCACUAAGUUUAAUGCCAGUCUGUUCGACUGCAAACCCCCUACAUGAGCUGAGUUAAGACCGGCGAGAGCUAGGUUGGACUCUAUCUUCUCUAGAAAACUACUCUUUAUUGUACGAAAGGACCCAAAGAGACACAAGCUUGUGUUUUAAAAUACAAACUCUUUAUGCUAAUUUAAACCAACUACU